AGCAGUUAAGCAGAUGCAGAGCGGAGUGUGCGGGUUGGGAUGUCCUGGAUGUAGACUGGACCCGAUCCAUUCAGAUCAUUCUUGGAACAUCUUCUUCAAGGUCAUUCAUUGCUGAUGCAGGCGACUGGGAUGACAAUAAAUCUGCAUCACAAUACCUGGAACCUGAAAUCAGAUCCGCUAAAUGGAAUUCACCCAUCAUUCACUUCAUCUUAUGGAGAGUGUUCCAGUGUCACACAAAUACACGGUACGUCAGUCACCACACAAGAGAAGUUGGCCGACCUGCAGGUACCGCAUCAAAACGGUGUCAAAAAGAACAUGAUGGAACCCAUAACGAGAUGUUCAUGUAGUGUAAACGGCAUACAACGAGCUGCACCAUAGAAACAGAAGAACAAGUUACUGCUGUUCCCCUUUAACCUUCUGAACCAGCAGCCGUAACAGCAUUUCAAUCUCUGGAUUAAUUAAUAAAAUGACUAGGAGGACAGCAGGCAUGAAAGUCAUGUAUUUGAAGCACCUGAGGUAAAUUAAUUUAUAUAUAACCAACCUGAAGGGCCGGUUGCGUUAAGGAGCACUACAGUUGCAUGAGAUGAAGAAUCUUUCUCAAAGAAGAAUUAUCAUUCUCCUCGGAUGCAGCUUUGGUCAGUUGUAUUAUUGUGAAAAUGAAGAAUAUGAUGGGAAUUAAGAAACAGACAAACACUAUUAUUAUAAAGCUUGUAUCUUUUAUAGUGGUGUGUGUGUGUGUGUGUGUUUAGGAAACCACAAUAAGAGUAGAUUUUAAAAGUAAAAUACAACUUAAUAUAAUGACAAAUAUGAACCAAGAGUAAUAUUGCAGCUCUCCUUUUAAUGUGUUGGUUUAUUUAUGACAUUGUUCAUAGUUUAUGACGUUAGAGGGUUGUUAAACUUGUUAAAUCCAUCAAGCAUCUUUCUCAUGAG
ensembl:lncRNA